UCAGGUGCCUAUAUCGGUGGUGUCCACCUCUUCCCAUUCCGAACAGAGAAGUUAAGCCCACCAGAGCCGAUGGUACUGCGGUAACACGUGGGAGAGUAGGUCGGUGCCAGAUCUUAAAAAGAAACCCCUCAAC
rnacentral:rRNA from 1 species